UUGGAGGGCAAGUCUGGUGCCAGCAGCCGCGGUAAUUCCAGCUCCAAUAGCGUAUAUUAAAGUUGUUGCAGUUAAAAAGCUUGUAGUUGAAUUUCGGGAUCAAUUUGCUGGUCGGGAGAACCGUACUAGUAUUUAUUGAUUUCUUUUUAUUCUGAUAAAUCAUGGAUGUCAUUAAUUUGAUGACUUUGAGGAAUCGGAACUUUUACUUUGAAAAAAUUAGAGUGUUUAAAGCAGGAUUAUUAGGCUUGAAUACAUUAGCAUGGAAUAAUGAAAUAGGACGAUUAAUUCUAUUUUUGUUGGUUUCUAGGAUUAAACGUAAUGAUUAAUAGGGAUAGUUGGGGGCAUUAGUAUUCAAUUGUCAGAGGUGAAAUUCUUGGAUUUAUUGAAGACUAACUACUGCGAAAGCAUUUGCCAAGGAUGUUUUCAUUAAUCAAGAACGAAAGUUAGGGGAUCGAAGACGAUCAGAUACCGUCGUAGUCUUAACCAUAAACUAUGCCGACUAGGGAUCGGAUGAUGUUAAUUUUUUUUAAUG
rnacentral:rRNA from 1 species